AACAAAUACAUACACAUUCUCACUUUGUAUCACUCAAAGACCGUCACUUUUCUUUCACAUUUUCCACUCACCCAACUAGUGCCCAACUCGUACAUCACACAAGAACCAAGUUAGACAACAUUGAACCAAGAUUGCCAAGUCACAUGUGUGAACUUUGAACCCUUAGCCUAUAACCAAAGUACCUUCCAAACCAACAAUGGCUAUUAUAAUAAGGUAUGUGUGCAUUGGGAUAUACCUAUAAUUGAUCCAUUAAAAUACCAAGCAGAAAAAAAAGGAACAAAAAUAAAUAGAAUGGAGAAAGCAAAACAAAAACACAGUCCUUCCCCAUCCCCAUGUUAUGCAUUGCAAUACUAACUCUAACCCAUGGAGCCCUCAACGACAUUGCAAUUGGAGGAGUGAUAAAUAACGUCUCCAUUGCCACAUAAGCCUUCUACUUUCUCUUUCUAGAAGCAAAGAGAGAGAGAAGAAUUCACUACAAGAAUUAAACAAAGAAUCUAAGUUACAAGAGAAAGUUGUGUCAUUUGAGAGGUGCAGCACCGGCGAGUUCGACCUAUAGGAAAGCUUUGAAACCUUGUCGCUAGCAUUUGGAGGGCACGCCAAAGCCACUAUGUUGUGGGUGUAUCUUAACGACCUCUCACUACUGCAAAAACACAUUUCUACUACAUUGUUUCUAAGAAGAGCCAAGGAGGAAGAGGUUGAAAGGAAGCCUUGUGUGAAGGCUCUUCCUUUCAAGGUGAAAGCGAUGUCGAGAGGAUCAUCGUCGCAGAAAGCAAGGAGUGGAUUCUUCUAGAACUCAAUGUUUGAUUGUUUAAUUUGAUGCACCGAACACUAUGACCCUGUUCUGGUGUCUCAGGAAGUGUGCGUUGAAAUCUACAAAGGCGUCACCACUAGCCAGCUCAAUGAAUUGGUAGCGGAAACCACCGCGGCUAUGAUCGCCAACCACCCUGACUAUUCUUCUGUGAGGCUCUUCUCUUUUCUUGCGUUUUUUUGUGGUUCAUAUUAUGGCUUAAAGGCUAAUCUGUGUGGUUUUGUGUUUGGUGCAGUUGGCUGCGAGGACAAUUUUCCUCUAGCUCUCUCUUUCUUCUUAUUCUCGUCAUUGAAUAUCUAUUUCUUCUAGAGAGAUCUCGCAGAUUUUCUUGCUUUCACAUGAUCUUAGAAUGCACUAUUUUGAUCAACUGAUAAGAAACACAUUUUGAUAUAAUCAUAUCAACUUAUUAGAUUGCUAAGGAUGGUUACAGCUGAUUACUAAAAUUUUGCAAGCUUUGGUAUUAAUGUCGUUUCAAAUUUUUUGUCAUUUUUCUUUACUGCACUUGUUAGUUCUGAAAUUUCUUGAUUUUGGAUGUAAAUUGCUAGAUUAGGCAUACUGGAUUGUUCUUUCUUUUAGAAUGGGUGGAAUUGAGCAAUUAAUUAUUCUAGAUAAAACAUCCGUAGUUGAAUUAAUGACAUUUUGCCUCACGAAAUCUGUGAUUUUUUCCUUCUGCAGGUUUUUACAUUUUUGGAGUAGCUAAAUCAGAUGAGGCAAGGUGGUCUUUUGUUAAUUACUUCAACUUAGGUAAACGAAUCUGCCUUGGUGAAUCUGUCAAGAUUGAAGAAUAGAUUGCAAACUACUUGUCUUGGCAAAAAGGAUUUAAAAUGAGUUGGAACCCACACAUGGAGGUCCAUUACAAUACCAUUAGCUAUCCCUAUAAUACAACAGGAAGCUUUAUCGAAUAUUUUGAAAGUCUCACCUAUGAACAUGUCAACUUCAUUUUUUAUGGUGAAUCGCAUGCUCAGGCUACUAGAAAGAUUCAUAAUUCUAAAGUAAAGACAUAAAAUUCCAUUUAUAUAUGCUGGAGAGUUCAUACCCUUCAAAGUCAAGCUUUUACAAGUUUGGACUAUCUGAACCAGAGAAUACUUCACACUAUCGUUACGGUCAUGAUUAUGAGGUAAAUCAUCACGAACCUGUGGUGGAUGAGUAUAGGAGACCUUCUGAGAACUCAUUGACAAUCAAUGAAAAGUCUGCAGCAGUAAGCACAAAAUGGGUUAAAGGUGGAAACACUAACACACGAGACAAUUAUAUUGAAUGUAAGUUUGUGAUUUUCAUCCAACUGAAAAUAAUUACAAUAGUAAUAUCUGGCUGUUGAAAUGCAGUCUUGGGUAUAUAUGUAAUGUCCUAAAAAGUUCAUUUAUGCUCAAUUUAUACUGUUACACUUGAUUCUUUUCGUAAGCAUCAUAAUGUUUGAGAAACUAGUUGUUGUACUAAGUCGAUAAUUAAUUUAGUUAUCCCAA